rnacentral:rRNA from 1 species
GAUCCCAUCAGAACUCCGAAGUUAAGCGUGCUUGGGCGAGAGAAGUCCUAGGAUGGGUGACCCCCUGGGAAGUCCUCGUGUUGCACCC